rnacentral:rRNA from 1 species
GAUGAACGCUGGCGGCGUGCCUAAUACAUGCAAGUCGAGCGAACAGAUGAGGAGCUUGCUCCUCUGACGUUAGCGGCGGACGGGUGAGUAACACGUGGAUAACCUACCUAUAAGACUGGGAUAACUUCGGGAAACCGGAGCUAAUACCGGAUAAUAUAUUGAACCGCAUGGUUCAAUAGUGAAAGACGGUUUUGCUGUCACUUAUAGAUGGAUCCGCGCCGCAUUAGCUAGUUGGUAAGGUAACGGCUUCCAAGGCAACGAUGCGUAGCCGACCUGAGAGGGUGAUCGGCCACACUGGAACUGAGACACGGUCCAGACUCCUACGGGAGGCAGCAGUAGGGAAUCUUCCGCAAUGGGCGAAAGCCUGACGGAGCAACGCCGCGUGAGUGAUGAAGGUCUUCGGAUCGUAAAACUCUGUUAUUAGGGGAGAACAAAUGUGUAAGUAACUAUGCACGUCUUGACGGUACCUAAUCAGAAAGCCACGGCUAACUACGUG